rnacentral:rRNA from 1 species
UUAGAGUUUGAUCCUGGCUCAGAUUGAACGCUGGCGGCAUGCCUUACACAUGCAAGUCGAACGGCAGCACGGGGGCAACCCUGGUGGCGAGUGGCGAACGGGUGAGUAACGCAUCGGAACGUGCCCAGUAGUGGGGGAUAACCAGUCGAAAGAUUGGCUAAUACCGCAUACGACCUACGGGUGAAAGCGGGGGAUCGCAAGACCUCGCGCUACUGGAGCGGCCGGUGUCUGAUUAGCUAGUUGGUGGGGUAAAGGCUCACCAAGGCGACGAUCAGUAGCUGGUCUGAGAGGACGACCAGCCACACUGGGACUGAGACACGGCCCAGACUCCUACGGGAGGCAGCAGUGGGGAAUUUUGGACAAUGGGCGAAAGCCUGAUCCAGCCAUGCCGCGUGCGGGAAGAAGGCCUUCGGGUUGUAAACCGCUUUUGGCAGGAACGAAACGGUGCCGACAAAUACUCGGCGCUAAUGACGGUACCUGCAGAAUAAGCACCGGCUAGCUACGUGCCAGCAGCCGCGGUAAUACGUAGGGUGCAAGCGUUAAUCGGAAUUACUGGGCGUAAAGCGUGCGCAGGCGGCUAUGCAAGACAGGUGUGAAAUCCCCGGGCUCAACCUGGGAACUGCAUUUGUGACUGCAUGGCUAGAGUUUGUCAGA